rnacentral:rRNA from 1 species
UACGUAGGCCGCAAGCGUUGUUCGGAGUUACUGGGCGUAAAGGGUGCGUAGGCGGUUGUUUAAGUUUGGUGUGAAAUCUCCCGGCUCAACUGGGAGGGUGCGCCGAAUACUGAAUGACUCGAGUGCGGGAGAGGAGAGUGGAAUUCCUGGUGUAGCGGUGAAAUGCGUAGAUAUCAGGAGGAACACCGGUGGUGUAGACGGCUCUCUGGACCGUAACUGACGCUGAGGCACGAAAGCGUGGGUAGCAAACAGG